rnacentral:rRNA from 1 species
UGGGGAAUAUUGGACAAUGGGGGAAACCCUGAUCCAGCGACGCCGCGUGUGUGAAGAAGGCCUGCGGGUUGUAAAGCACUUUCGGUGGGAACGAAAUAUGCCGGGCUAAUACCCCGGUAGGCUGACGUUACUCAAUGAAGAAGCACCGGCUAACUCUGUGCCAGCAGCCGCGGUAAUACAGAGGGUGCGAGCGUUAAUCGGAAUUACUGGGCGUAAAGCGCACGUAGGUGGCGACGUAAGUCGGGUGUGAAAGCCCCGGGCUCAACCUGGGAACCGCAUUCGAGACUGCGUUGCUGGAGUACGGAAGAGGAGGGCGGAAUUCCCGGGUGUAGCGGUGAAAUGCGUAGAUAUCGGGAGGAACAUCAGUGGCGAAGGCGGCCCUCUGGUCCAGUACUGACACUCAAGUGCGAAAGCGUGGGGAGCAAACAGGAUUAGAUACCCCGGUAGUCC